rnacentral:tRNA from 1 species
GGAGAGGUGGCAGAGCGGUUGAAUGUACCUGACUCGAAAUCAGGCGUACGUUAAUAGCGUACCGAGGGUUCGAAUCCCUCCCUCUCCGCCA